rnacentral:RNase_P_RNA from 1 species
ACUACAAACCGUGCUAUCGCUUCAUUGCAAAAUGAGGAGGAAAGUCCGGACAGCGCAGAGCAACGCACCACCUAACGGGUGGGUCCUGAUCUACAGGAACAGCCAGUGCCGCAGAAAAUAACCGUCUCUACCCGGUAGAGAUAAGGGUGAAAAUGUGGGGUAAGAGCCCACGGCCUUGACAGGUAACUGUUAAAGCGGGUAAACCUUGCGUGCUGAAAUGCCAUGUAUACGGUCGAUUGAGGGCUGCUCGUCCGAUGACCGAGGGUAGGCAGAUACAGGGAACGUGCGAACGUUACCGCAGAUAAAUGAUAGCAGUCCCUAUUCAAUAGGGAUACAGAAUCCGGCUUACAGGUUUGUAGUUUUU